UGAUGCCUACGGGAGGCAGCAGUGGGGGAUAUUGCACAAUGGGGGUAACCCUGAUGCAGCGACGCCGCGUGGGUGAAGAAGCGACUCGGCGCGUAAAGCCCUGUCAGCAGGGAAGAAAAUGACGGUACCUGAAGAAGAAGCCCCGGCUAACUACGUGCCAGCAGCCGCGGUAAUACGUAGGGGGCAAGCGUUAUCCGGAUUUACUGGGUGUAAAGGGGGCGCAGACGGCGAUGCAAGCCAGGAGGGAA
rnacentral:rRNA from 1 species